rnacentral:misc_RNA from 1 species
GAGAGGCUGUUUUCAUGACUCAAACUGUAACUUGUAGGCUAUAAGUGGAGUAACUUUAUUGUUACGCCGAAGCCGCCCUCUCUCUCCUUACUCUUUUAUCGUUUCCUCACAAUCGACCAUAUCAAUAGAAAUAAGGCUCACUCGAUUAGUUUAAUCCGUGGCAGAAGAGUUGAAUAUUCUUGAUAAUAGUCAAAGUAAAGUAUUUACCUAUGGGCCAAGUUAGUGUUUAGUAUAUUGAAAAGAAGCGAGAAUAACACAAAUCUUGGAUUAUAAAAGCUGUGAACAUAUACUUUGCGCCAUAAGCUACGAAAUCCAAAGAAAAGAGAAUAAAAGAAAAAGCAGUAGAAGCUUCACUGGCACAGCUUGUAAAGCUCAUGCAAACUUAGCCUACAAAAUCCCUCAACAUCACACCAUUGUAGUCACAUCUCCCAAUUCCAUCCAAAAACUAAGUUUUUUGAUUGUAUCUGCAACAGUUUCGCUCUUUUUCAAUGGCUGCUAAAACAGUUUCAAGAUCAAAUUAUCUGAUCAAAGCCUUCAAUUUGCUGGGGCUCUUUUGUCUAUUGUUGUUCUUGCAGAAAGGAAAUGCAACCCAAUUCACCGUUGGAGGAGCGAAGGGUUGGACUGUGAGUGACAAUGCCAGUGCAUCCAAUUUCAAUCAAUGGGCUGAAAGAACAAGAUUUCAGAUCGGAGACUCCCUGGGUAAGUUUAUAUAUGCUUAUAUCAUUUAUAUAUUCAAAUAUGGUACACAACCCUCUCCUAUUUGUGGCAAAGCAGAGAGUCUUGUGCACUGAGGAAAUGAUCCUAUCUUAAUAGUAUAAAAAAUGUGUACUUGAUCCAUUUUAUGGCUAUGAAACUGCAGUGUUUGUGUACAAGCCAGACCAAGACUCAGUGCUUCAGGUAACCAAGGAAGACUAUGACAAUUGCGCUACAACAGCAGCUCUUGCAACCUUCAAAGAUGGUCACACUGUCUUUACAUUCAAUCGAUCGGGGCCGCACUACUUCAUUAGUGGAAACAAAGAUAAUUGUCUCAAGAAUGAGAAGUUGGUGGUAGUUGUUUUGGCAAGCAGAAGCAAUCAAUCUUCUAACGCUUCACCUCCACCUUCAGCUGAGACGGGCGUAAUCCCAUCUCCUGCACCUGCCGGAGAGGGGUCUCCUCCUACAGGAACAGUUGAGACAAGCCCAACUCCGUCUCCAGCUGGCGAGACACCGAAUGCAGCUUCUUCCACAUUUAUAAGUUUCACUGGUUCUAUUGGAGCAUUCUUUGCUUCAUCUCUUAUUUUAGUAUUCUGAGUGGUAAAUUUGCAUUAUCAGGAGUUUCACUAUAUAUUUGUUUCGGGUUUUUGCUUUUCUUUAUGAUUUUAAAACCUUGAGCUUAGUGGGUUUUUGAAAGGUGUAAUUGAUCUUGGAUAUUUAUUUGUUACAGAUGAGAAAUAAGCUGACAAUUUAUGUAUUGUCUGUGUGCUUAUUACCUCAUGUAGGAACAUUGUGUGGCAGAAAAUAAAGAAAAUUUACACCGUGUCAUGGUUGCAAGAAUAUGUACUGUCCUCUCCUUGGAAAAAUUUAUGUUAAAAGAACAAAUGAAAAUAGGUAA